rnacentral:rRNA from 1 species
GUGCCAGCCGCCGCGGUAAUACGAAGGGGGCUAGCGUUGUUCGGAAUUACUGGGCGUAAAGCGCACGUAGGCGGAUAUUUAAGUCAGGGGUGAAAUCCCAGAGCUCAACUCUGGAACUGCCUUUGAUACUGGGUAUCUUGAGUAUGGAAGAGGUAAGUGGAAUUGCGAGUGUAGAGGUGAAAUUCGUAGAUAUUCGCAGGAACACCAGUGGCGAAGGCGGCUUACUGGUCCAUUACUGACGCUGAGGUGCGAAAGCGUGGGGAGCAAACAGGAUUAGAAACCCCUGUAGUCC